GGACUCGUAGCCUAGACUGGAUGUCUUUUUGGCAAGUCAAAUAGGGCGACAGCCUCCUAAGCUGUAGGUCGGGGGUUCAAAUCCUCCCGAGUCCG
rnacentral:tRNA from 1 species